AUUGAACGCUGGCGGCAGGCCUAACACAUGCAAGUCGAGCGAGCGGCGGACGGGUGAGGAAUGUCUGGGAAACUGCCUGAUGGAGGGGGAUAACUACUGGAAACGGUAGCUAAUACCGCAUACCCUCAGAUGUGCCCAGAUGGGAUUCGCUAGUAGGUGGGUGAACGGCUCAACUAGGCGACGAUCCCUAGCUGGUCUGAGAGGAUGACCAGCCAAACUGGAACUGAGACACGGUCCAGCCUCCUACGUGAGGCGGCAGUGGGGAAUAUUGCACAAUGGGCGCAAGCCUGAUGCAGCCAUGCCGCGUGUGUGAAGAAGGCCUUCGGGUUGUAAAGCACUUUCAGCGGGGAGGCGUUACCCGCAGAAGAAGCACCGGCUAACUCCGUGCCAGCAGCCGCGGUAAUAC
rnacentral:rRNA from 1 species